GCGAGGAGGGACGACGAAGGAACCCCAGCCGGCGGUCGCCGCGACGGAGCUUCUCCCGGAGCAUGCUGCGAAGAGAAACGGGACGGGUGGCGCGUGCCCGCCCCCCUCGUGGCGGGAAUCCGGCUUGGGGUGGAUCACCGACCCGCGAGGUGAUCUUGUAGGCGGCGGAUGCCAUUCGACGAUCCAAGAAGGCCCAACACUUGGAUGCCCCUCGGUGGAGUCUUGUCGGACGUCCCGAUGUUUUCUGAAAGAGAAAUCGCCAUGGCAGACUUGCAACUACUUCAGGAGACAACAAAAGUAGCCGCUUGUGUGGUAUGCUACAGCAACGGAGACUGUACAGUCUGAAAGGGAGACGUUCCAAACCUAGCAGCGUCUCUGUCUCCGUAGACAUCGUUCGUUGUAUCGGUUUAACUGGGUGGAGCACAAAAGAAAGUCUUCGAAUGAGCUGCUACUUUCUUUCAGUCAACAACUGCGGCUGUUUUCAGUGUAGUCUUGUGUUUUCCAACUAUGUCAUGAAGUAAAGCGUGCAUCUUGGCAUUCAUGAGGUUGUGGUCGUA